rnacentral:lncRNA from 1 species
GUCGGCAGGGGUUUUCUCUUUUUUUCCCUCUCUCUCUCUCUCUCUCUCUCUCUCUUUUCUCCUCGUGGACGGCGCCGCGUCGUCGUCGAGUUCGUUGACCCCAACAGGCGCUUGCAGCACGACAACUAGGCACAACCGCAAAGCGGGCCGCUCGGCAGGCUAUAGGCGAUCGCGCCAGAGAGGUCACCCGCCGGGUGCGCCCAGGCCAAAAGGCCACGGCAAUUGUGAGAGACCCGUCUCUGGAAAAAAAACCCUAUUCGUGCCACGAAGCGAUGCGACACAGAAAAUGGCAACGACCGGCAGGCGCAAUCUCCCUCACGACUCGCGGAUGCCGAGCACCGCGCUCUGUUCUCCCUCAAACAGAAAAAAAAAUCAGGAUUCGAAAAAAAGAUACAGCAGGAUUUGGGUGAGGCGGCGAAAAAUCCUGACGGCGGGGUGACGGCCGAGAAAAAAGAACAGCGGCAUGAAAAGCGGCAGUGAAAAAAGAAAAGAAUGUGACGGGGCUCACGGCGAGGCGUCGAGGGCGCCGCGGUGCACGAGGCGCGUGUACAGCGCCGGCCGGCGCCGCGCCAAGUAGGCCGCGACCUUGCUCGGCGGCGGCGCGCGGGCCGUGUCGACGCCGGCCGCCGCGAGCACGUCGACGAGUCGUCGGGCGGCCACCGGGUCGCGCGCAACGGCCGUGCCCUGGAGGACGACCGAGCCGGCGCCGCUGCCGCCCAGCGCCACGCGAUCGACGACGACGCAGAGUCCCGAUACGGCGCCGGGAUCCGCCGGCACGUGGUAGGUCGUGCGGCUCACGCUCAAGCGCGCAUAGAGACCCAAACAGAGGGUGGAGAGAUCGCGCGCAUUGCUCUCGGGCGCCACCAUGGCCACGAGACGGCCGUUAUCAUCGUCGUCGAUAUCAUUGUACACACGAGCACGGUGACGUCCUCGCUCUUGUUCGUGUACACUGCCGCGGGCGCCUUGGACGUCGUAACCCGUGCGGCCUCUGCCGUCGGUGUCUCUUGGCUCGACCCUGUCGCUCGCGUCGCCGCAGCCCUUGUCGUCGGCGUCGUCGCGACGCGGGCUGACGCCGCGCACCACGCGCAUGCACCACGUUAUGGCGUCUGCCGAACCGUCGGUGUCGCGCCGGCGCAGCCACCACCCGAGCGCCGGCAGGUCGUCGCUGCCGUGGAACGAGUCGACAAACGUGGUGCGGCUCACCGCCGUGCCCUGUUUGGCCAUCAGGACGGCGUGAAGGGCCGCCGUCGUCGAGGCGUCGAGGAGCCAUCGCACGCGCACGGGUGGCGCGGGAUCGCCCCGCAGGCGGUCCAACGCCUCGUCGGCCGAGUAACCGACGAGGACGGUCCGGGAUUGGGCACGCGAGCGCAUGACUGUCGCACACACGCAGACCGUCUGCGCGUGCGCUCGAAUCAAAAAACCCUUUUUUUAUGCGCGCGCUCGCGUCGCCCUCUAGAGCGGGCAGCCUCGAUGAUCGUGCGUGCGUGUGUAUACGCGUGUGUGUGUACGCGCGUAGAUUUUUGGCGGUGAUCGUGGGGUACCACAGACAAUGGCGGCAAAAAGGCACCGGACCGACGACGGGGACCCGAGUCCAACACGAAAAAGCAGAGGACAGCGACCGGCGGCACGCACGGCGCAAACAGGCGCCGAUGCUUUGUCUCUUUGUGCAAACAAGAGAAAAGACGCGGGCGAGGACGCCUGAAGAAAAAAAAAGGUGACGGGACCAACACAGGGCCAGGGCCACAACAAGAGAGACCACAAAGGCCCAAAAAGAGGCAAAGCGACAGAGGGACCACGCGCACGAGCCGGCCUGCGAAUAGCGACCGUUUCCGGUUUUUUUCUCCUAUCCUUUUCAUGGAUUCCUUGCACUUUUUCCUUGUGUCCCCUUUUCUCUUUUCCUUGGAACAUUUGGGAGCAGCAAAAAAGGCGGCAGCGCGCCCAAUGAAAGGGCGCAUUGUUUUUGAUGCGGCCAAUGGGCGGCGUCGAAAGAGU